rnacentral:rRNA from 1 species
AUACGGAGGGUGCAAGCGUUACUCGGAAUCACUGGGCGUAAAGCGCGCGCAGGCGGCUUGAUAAGUUGGAUGUGAAAGCCUACGGCUCAACCGUAGAACUGCAUCCAAAACUGUCAGGCUAGAGUGUGUGAGAGGAAGAUGGAAUUAGUUGUGUAGGGGUGAAAUCCGUAGAGAUAACUAGGAAUACCAAAAGCGAAGGCAAUCUUCUGGAACACUACUGACGCUGAGGCGCGAAGGCGUGGGGAGCAAACAGAAUUAGAUACCCCAGUAGUCC